UACGGGGGGGGGCAAGCGUUGUUCGGAAUUACUGGGCGUAAAGGGCUCGUAGGCGGCCAACUAAGUCGGAUGUGAAAUCCCCAGGCUUAACCUGGGAACUGCAUCCGAUACUGGAUGGCUUGAAUCCGGGAGAGGGAUGCAGAAUUCCAGGUGUAGCGGUGAAAUGCGUAGAUAUCUGGAGGAACGCCAGUGGCGAAGGCGGGUCUCUGGACAGUUCCUGACACUGAGGCACGAAGGCCAGGGGGAGCAAACGGG
rnacentral:rRNA from 1 species